rnacentral:rRNA from 1 species
GAUGAACGCUGGCGGCGUGCCUAAUACAUGCAAGUCGAGCGAACAGACGAGGAGCUUGCUCCUCUGACGUUAGCGGCGGACGGGUGAGUAACACGUGGAUAACCUACCUAUAAGACUGGGAUAACUUCGGGAAACCGGAGCUAAUACCGGAUAAUAUAUUGAACCGCAUGGUUCAAUAGUGAAAGACGGUUUUGCUGUCACUUAUAGAUGGAUCCGCGCCGCAUUAGCUAGUUGGUAAGGUAACGGCUUAUCAAGGCGACGAUGCGUAGCCGACCUGGGAGGGUGAUCGGCCACACUGGAACUGAGACACGGUCCAGACUCCUACGGGAGGCAGCAGUAGGGAAUCUUCCGCAAUGGGCGAAAGCCUGACGGAGCAACGCCGCGUGAGUGAUGAAGGUCUUCGGAUCGUAAAACUCUGUUAUUAGGGAAGAACAAAUGUGUAAGUAACUAUGCACGUCUUGACGGUACCUAAUCAGAAAGCCACGGCUAACUACGUG